rnacentral:rRNA from 1 species
GGGCCCGCACAAGCGGUGGAGCAUGUGGUUCAAUUCGAAGCAACGCGAAGAACCUUACCAGCCCUUGACAUCCCGGUCGCGGGAACGAGAGAUUGAUCCCUUCAGUUCGGCUGGACCGGAGACAGGUGCUGCAUGGCUGUCGUCAGCUCGUGUCGUGAGAUGUUGGGUUAAGUCCCGCAACGAGCGCAACCCUCGCCCUUAGUUGCCAUCAUUCAGUUGGGCCCUCUAAGGGGACUGCCGGUGAUAAGCCGCGAGGAAGGUGGGGAUGACGUCAAGUCCUCAUGGCCCUUACGGGCUGGGCUACACACGUGCUACAAUGGCGGUGACAAUGGGAUGCAAUGGGGCAACCCUGCGCAAAUCUCAAAAAGCCGUCUCAGUUCGGAUUGUGCUCUGCAACUCGAGCACAUGAAGUUGGAAUCGCUAGUAAUCGCAGAUCAGCACGCUGCGGUGAAUACGUUCCCGGGCCUU